GGGGAAUAUUGGACAAUGGGCGCAAGCCUGAUCCAGCAAUGCCGCGUGGGUGAAGAAGGUUUUCGGAUUGUAAAGCCCUUUCGGCGGGGACGAUGAUGACGGGACCCGCAGCAGAAGCUCCGGCUAACCUCGUGCCAGCAGCCGCGGUAAUACGAAGGGGGCUAGCGUUGCUCGGAAUGACUGGGCGUAAAGGGCGCGUAGGCGGGUUGCACAGUCAGAUGUGAAAUUCCUGGGCUUAACCUGGGGGCUGCAUUUGAUACGUGUAGGCUUGAGUGGGGAAGAGGGUCGUGGAGUUCCCAGUGUAGAGGUGAAAUUCGUAGAUAUUGGGAAGAACACCGGUGGCGAAGGCGGCGACCUGGUCCUUGACUGACGCUGAGGCGCGAAAGCGUGGGGAGCAAA
rnacentral:rRNA from 1 species